GAUGAACGCUGGCGGCGUGCUUAACACAUGCAAGUCGAACGAAGCACCGGACCUUCGGGACCGGUGACUGAGUGGCGGACGGGUGAGUAACGCGUGGGUAACCUGCCCUGUACAGGGGGAUAACAGUUAGAAAUGACUGCUAAUACCGCAUAAGCACACGAGGGGGCAUCUCUUUGUGUGAAAAACUCCGGUGGUACAGGAUGGGCCCGCGUCUGAUUAGCCAGUUGGCAGGGUAACGGCCUACCAAAGCGACGAUCAGUAGCCGGUCUGAGAGGAUGAACGGCCACAUUGGAACUGAGACACGGCCCAAACUCC
rnacentral:rRNA from 1 species